GAUGAACGCUGGCGGCGUGCUUAACACAUGCAAGUCGAACGAGAAGUGAGGACGGAAACCUUCGGGCGGAAGGCUUUACUUCGAGUGGCGGACGGGUGAGUAACGCGUGGGUAACCUGCCUCAUACAGGGGGAUAACAGUUGGAAACGACUGUUAAUACCGCAUAAGACCACAGCACCGCAUGGUGCGGGGGUAAAAACUCCGGUGGUAUGAGAUGGACCCGCGUUCGAUUAGCCAGUUGGCGGGGUAACGGCCCACCAAAGCGACGAUCGAUAGCCGAUCUGAGAGGAUGACCGGCCACAUUGGGACUGAGACACGGCCCAAACUCCUACGGGAGGCAGCAGUGGGGAAUAUUGCACAAUGGGGGAAACCCUGAUGCAGCGACGCCGCGUGAGUGAAGAAGUAUUUCGGUAUGUAAAGCUCUAUCAGCAGGGAAGAAAAUGA
rnacentral:rRNA from 1 species